CUGGUGGCACUCAGAGGAAGGACAGCAGGUUACCAAGAAGAGACUUGAUACCCUAUGAGCAUAUACAGGGGGAAGUAAUCCCCCUCAGGAACAGUCAUAGGGGAGGGGAAUAAGGGGAAAAUGGGAGGGAGGGAAGAAUGGGAGGAUACAAGGGAUGGGAUAACCAUUGAGAUGUAACAAGAAUAAAUUAAUAAAG